AGGCGACGCGGCAGAGGUGAGCUCCCCAGCUCCCAUCCGCAUUGCAAUCACCGCUAGCGCCAGGCGAGGCUCCGCCCCAUCCAGGCGACCUUUGCAUGAUCUUGCACGACGACAAUGCCGCUGGCGAUGCCACCAGGAAGGAAGAAGAAUUGGAAGAACAGCACGGCGGCGAUCGUCCAAACAGAGAAGGCAGAGCUCCUGGAUCCCAUUCAUGGCGUAGAGCGACGCGGACGAGAUCCUCUCGAAAUUCAGCCUCCGGAUUUGCUCGCGCAGGAUCAUGUUCUCCUCGCUCUCGCUAGGGGGGAGCUGGAGAUCGCUGGGAGCCUCUGGCAUGGACAUGUCCACCGAGAGAUCAAAGAGCGACGUGUAGAUGGAGUCGCCCUCUCCGCCACUCUGGACGACCAGCUCUUCCAGCCCCGAGAGAGUGUCGCUAAGAUCAUCCGAGCUGGCUGGAGAGUUCCGGCGAUCGAGCUCCUGGGCUCCUGGAGGAGGAGCUCCUGGAAGAACUUCCAUAGCCGCUACUCCAAAGCCAUCAAAGUGAAGAGAUCGCGCUGCUGCUCUUGGUGGUGGAAGAACUUUGGGAAGCCAUCGUUGGCGAGCAAGGUGGUGAAGGAUUGGACAUGGAGUGGCUGUGCCUGGACGUUGCCGAGCUCUUCCUCGUCGCCAAAGUACUGGAGCUGGUUAAAGCUGCGCUGGUGGAGCGUCCGCGCGGCCUUGGACGGAAGAACUGAGCCGCUCGAGGGCGAUGCCGCCGGAUCUGCCCCCAUUCCUAUGAUAUAUAUAUAUAUCCCAGUCUUCUCCGAUCCUGGCCGUCCGAACUCUCACCACAGGUUGCUUGUGCUGCUCUCACAGAGAUGUCAUCGACGUAUGUCUUCUUGUUACGAAGGAGAUUCUUCACACCAUUUGGAGCGCAAUGCUGUACAGGUCACAGGCUGUUCGUGGCUGUAAGUUCGGGGGAUUUCGGCACUGUUCCUGGGAGUUUUUUCACUGUUCUUCUCGGCGGAAGCGUUCAACGCUUAUACUUUGCAAGUCAAUCAACACGCUAAGUAGCACCAAUCGAUCCAGCGUUUGGAUUAAGCUCAAGCAAUCUAGUAACUCAAGUCCAGUCAAAGCACGCUACCGAUAGCUCCAAAGUUUGCAAAUGGAUGGAGCAAACUCGACCGGGGGCGAUUUGGCGUGACUUUGCAGACAAAUCUACGGGAAGGGGACGAGCUCUUUGGCAUCACUCGCGAGAUCUAGAGGCCGACGACGCAAGAUUGUCCCCAUCAGUUUUCUUGGGAUUGUUGGUGGAGAACGACGUCGAGCCUGUUGUGACCGUCGUGAUCCAAGCGAGCUUCCAAGCCCGUGAUCUAAGCAAGGUUCCAAACUCUUAUAACGUGGAUCCAAAACUUUGGAGUCCUGGUCUCCAACUCCAAAACAAGGAUCAAAGGCUGGACUGGUCAAGGAUGGAUGUUCUUGCCGUUUUCUCCUUGUUGCUA